CCCUAAUCCUCAUCCCAUCCAGUCCCCAGCCCCCCACUCGGCUACUCCCGCAGCGGCGCAGCCGCCAGAGCACCAAACACAGACGCCGCCAGCGGUUCCAACGUGAUUCACGCCAUCACGCGAGAGCCAUCUCCCCAUGGUGGCCACGCUCGUAGUCCCAGCCAGUGAGCAUGAGUGUCUGCCUCUGAGUAUUCAAGAUGCCCUGUGCGCAGUUGCCUGGCUGCCGCACGCCCGCACUGCUGCUCCUACUUUGGUCUGUAUGGAAGAUGAAUCUUGCGUCUCCUCUCCAGUUUCUCAUCCUGGUUGGAUACGGCAGAAGCCAGAAGGUGGCUCUUGCCUGAUACAAGUACAGAUCUGCAUCCACGCAAGCACUAAUGUACUUGUUAGAUUUUUUUUUCAAUUUAUUUGCAAUUUUGGGAAUCAUGGGAGCUGUGAUUUUUUUUGCAAUUUGGGUAAUCAAGGAAGCUGUGAUCUGUAAACUAAGCAAUUGUAUUUCAUGCUAUUGCAAGAUGCAUUUUGUACUUGGUUAUUGAUCCGAGCACUUGUUUUUGCGGGGAUGGGGACCCCAUCGGGGUGCUUUCCCUGCUCGGGUUCGGGGAUAGGGAAAGAACAUCCCCCGUCAGCUUUGACGGGGAUGGGGCUGGGGAAAAGUUUUCCCCUCGGGGGCGGGGAUGAGAGACCUGGACGGCUAGACCCGACGGGAAAUUUCCCAUUGCCAUCUUGAUCCCAGAGUGAAGAGAGAGCUUUCGGCCUCCGCCUUAGAGCGAUGCUGCCGUCGGAGCUCGAUACUGAUGGGUGGCUUCAGGUUCAGGACCUCGCGCCCCGCCUCCGUCGCUCUCUACGCCUUCCUCGCCUUCCUCAACCUCUUCGCCUUGGUUCUCGCCGUCGGCGCCAAGCACUGCCGCAGCACCGGGAAGGCACGGAGCUGUUGCCGUCGAAUAUAUGGUACUUGAUUUGUACGUGAUUUCGUUUUGGACUCGAUCUGGAAUCUGGUAUGUGGUACAUGAUUUGUAUUUGAUUUUGUUUUGGAUUCGAUCUAGAAUCUGGUACCAGGUGAGUUCUCUCAGGCAGCGGAUUACUAUGUUUUUAACGGACGUGAAAUUUUCAUCUUUAAAUAUUAGGGAUAGAUUUACAAAUAGCUAGCUAGAUGAUGUACAGAAAUAAUAAUAAAAAUAUCAUUUUCAUUGGCUA